ensembl:lncRNA
CAUCGGUCAUUCCAGUAAUGGUGAGGCUGACACAUCGGACUCCAUUUCUUGUAAACCACUUUUAAUAACCCCCUCAUCUAUGAAUGAACAAAAAGGACAAAGUGAGACCCCAAAACCUCUCUUGGCUCUCAAAAGUAUUUGCAAGACCAAGUCCUCCUUGACACCACAAAAGCGAUUGCCAGCCAGGUUCUUGUCUUGUAUAAGACUGAGGUGAUGGAGAAGUUCUCAUAUUCUGUUGGAGAGUGUGAUUCUGAAGAGUCUCUGGAGGCCAUUCUAUUUGUGGAUGGCAUCAUGUCUGACUUGAAUGAUUUCACCAGUUCGUGUUCCCCCUCACCAUCUGAGUUGUUAGACAGUGAACAAUGUCUCUCCCAUCUCACUUUUCCACUUGGUCUGCAGGACAGCACCACCAACAGUGAAUCUACCCUGAGUCUUCCAGUUAUAAAUAUGAAGAAACUCUCCAGUGUGUCUUUCCAGACAAAGGCUAGAAAGGCAGUGAGCGAAGCUCUGAGAUCUGUCAACCCCUUUACAAACAGCUUACUGGGAGACUCUGAAGCAUCUAAAUUGCUGGACACUUUUGUAACAGAUGUGGAGACUGUUGUUCAGUCCAUGCAGGCACAUGACUCUGAAAAUGUCAGAAUUUCAAAAGUGAGCACCCUUCAUGCUGCUCGUAUUAUAUAUCAUAGAUUUAGAGAAAUGCUGAGGCGUUUUCUCACUCCCUGCCAAGACUCUGUAAAGGUCAUCGAUGGUGUUACACCAAUACAUGAUGAGACUCUCAAACAGGCUCCUAGUGAAAGUUUAGAUUCUCAGGUGACUUGUAAUAGUGAUUCUCUUGAAAUCCAAGCAGACCUUCAAACCUGUACCAAGGAGGUCAUUAGUCAGAUCCUCACUGUGUAUCACUCUGAGGAAUCCAUGGAGGAAUGCCUCUCUAGCCUAAAAGGAGAUACAGAAGACCUGUCCAAGCUUUUGGAUGCCGUUGUUUCUCAGAUUGACGUCCUUGCCCCUUCCAAAUCAUAUUUAUCUGUUGAUGACUAUGCUGUCAAUACACAGGACAAUUUGCAUGGUGAGAUCAACAAUGAUGAGGAGGAGGCAUCCUCUAGAAGUCUUAAAUCCACAGCCUUUGUCAAACUAUGUACUGAGGAGUUUCAAACUAAAGCCUCACAUAUGGCUGGUGGGAUCCUUCAAUCAGGGUUGAUUGGCAUUGUAAAUACCAGCCUUGAUGGUAGAAGUGCAGACAUUUGUGCAGAGUCCAGUAAUGAUGGUGAUGAUAGAGAUGUCAAAAUCCUUCAGAAGAGUGGAACUCCACCUUUGUUCACCUCUUCUCUGCACACCAAUUCUGCAGCAUCCAACAUCGUCAUAAGCAUCACUAAAGACCUUAAUAGCUUCACCCAGAUGACUAAAAUGUCUGAUGCUUCAGUGUCUGGCCAGUUAGAGAGAUCCCUGUCAGCUUCAACCCUUCCUGUCAGUGUUCACAACGGGGCCAAUGUGAAAGGAAAGAUCAUUUGGCCAGGCACUGUUAACCUGUUCAACAAUGUGUUCACCAAGGUCAAGGAUUUUUUUGCCCAGCAACAACCGGUCCUCCUAGACAAUGUGGUUGAGGCCCCCAAACAUGCCGAAUCCAUAUGCAGAACAGCUACUUCUACACAAAUGACUUACAGUGAACAUGAAGGCAGCCAGACCAGCAUGGUAAAUUAUUCCAAAGCCUUAAUUAGUCAGACUCUGAUGACAAUCCAGAGGAGAGUGUCUAUGUCAGAGAGGAUGAGCACCUCAGAGAAAGGCCUCUUGACUCGUUCCAUCGUGGGCUCCAUGUUGGAGGAUGUUGACAUGGUGAGAACUGAUGGACACGAGAUACACCGGCCAUCCUCCUCAAAGUCCUCCCUGUCCAUCACCUCUGCCAUGACCAGAGGGUCCCAGAGUGAUUUUACAAAUUCUCUUCCAGGCACUCCAGUCCCCAAUGAGUGGCCUGUUGAAAUCUAUUGUCCUAUCAUUAGGAGUUCAGUCAUUGAUAUGAGUGACUCCUCAACUCAUUCACAAGGGUCAACAAAUUACACAAGGCAAACCAUCUCUGCCGUAGUUGACACUGUUAUGGAGGUCAUUCCAAGAGAAGAUACGGAACACAUAGCCACUGCAGAUGAUGUCACUUCUUUUACAAGAAGACUUGCGAGACUCAGCCCCAGGGACGGUGUUCAGAACUUCUCACAUGAGCUCACUGACAAAGUUUAUGAGCUCAUAAAAAGUCACAACACCCCCCAGGCUCUUUUUGUGCCAGCUGGCAAGAGCGUGUCUGACUCUAUUCUUUUGAAGCUGAAGACAGGAUUGAAUGCUUCUGAAGAAUCCAGGGAGUUUCCAUCUGACCUUGUAUACUCCUUUGCUACGGAGUCAAUAAAACGUCUGCUACAGCAGAUUGUCUUCUGGCUUCCUCCACCAUCACAAGGAUCCGAUUUCUGCCAAACUAUCAUCUCUGAUGAUUCUCUGCAGGAAACAAGUUGGCUUAUGCCGAGCUCUUCUGCCAUCUCCGUUAGUUCCUCACAGGUUUACUGGGACACAAAGAGCCUUUUCACCAAUAUAAUGGUCAAUUAGGUCAUGGAUACCUGUUCUGUGGCCUCCAAUUCAUCAGAAGAAUUAUCAGAGUUGAUGAACAUAAUCAAUGGGUUGUCCCCAACUGAUGCUGGAACACUUGACUCUGACAGACCGGCUCUCAUGAACACUAACCGUCAGUCUAGUUCCAAAUCAUUGCCUAGACCCUCUCUGUCUGGCAGCAGCACACACAACGGUGGAACUGUGGAUAUUCAAGUUUUAGGAGAGGUGGAAUCCAAGAUGGACAACAAAGAUCUGGAGAUGUCUAGUGUCUCUGUGCAUCCAUCAACUCCAUCAGCCAUGGACUCUGAUACACAUGCAUCAUUUGACUCCACUAGCAAUGACUACACCUCUUUGGUACUUUUACUGAUUGUUAGAUUGCUGUCAAUGAUCACCCCUUUCACAUUACUGGAAUCCUCUGACAUUGGUGAAACAUCAAGAGUUCUCACAAAGAGGAUUCUGUCUGAGUUCUGUGGCACCUCAGGCCUUGAACCAACUCAAGCCUACCCCCAGAAUCUGAAAAUCAAAAAGAUUUUCAAGGCUGUCUACACGGGGCUUCUUCAAGAAUUCAGGUCAGAGAAGAUGCUCCAGGUUGCAAUGAAGUCAACGGAUUAUGCAUUUGACGAUGCCCUGGUCAAAUCAUUAACUAGGGAACUACUAGCUAAAUGCAAUGAGGCUAGCUUUUCACCUCCCUCCAUGACCCAGUUGUCAUCACACAAUGUACUUGGCAGUGACGAGGUAGGUAAUUCUGGGCUUCCAACAACUGGUAGAAAGGAAAACAAGAGAGGAAGAUUCAGCACUCUCUGUGGACUCAACCCAAAGGUACAUAUGUCAUCAAAAUACAAAUUGUAAAGAAUUUUUUUAUUCAUAACAUACAGUAUGAUGGUAAACACUGAUACCCUUUGUGUGCAAUUUCUCCUACUGUAUAAAUGACUGUUUGUUACCCAGUGUACAAAGAAGGUCAACAAGAAGAACCACUGCACUCCAACACCUUCCCAGAACCAGACCCCUGCCGUCAGUGAAACAGCAAUUGUCAAUGAUCAACAAUCCUGCCGAACAGAGAGUGUAUGCUCCACCAAGAAGAAACCAAGGAAGCGUUCGCUCAUUUCCAGGAUGUUUUCAGCUAUAGGCAAAGCCUUGUCCAGUCCCUUUACUUCCUGCUAUAAAAAGAAGAGCACCUAAUCUAUAUUUCAAAAUAAAUAUUUGAAAUUAACAUAAUUGCAU